UACGGGGGGGGCAAGCGUUGUUCGGAAUUACUGGGCGUAAAGGGCUCGUAGGUUGCCAACUAAGUCGGACGUGAAAUCCCUCAGCUUAACUGGGGAACUGCGUCCGAUACUGGAUGGCUUGAGUUUGGGAGAGGGAUGCGGAAUUCCUGGUGUAGCGGUGAAAUGCGCAGAUAUCAGGAGGAACACCGAUGGCGAAGGCAGGUCUCUGGGCCGAUACUGACGCUGAGGAGCGAAAGCGUGGGGAGCGAACAGG
rnacentral:rRNA from 1 species